UGCUGUGAUUGUGGUAAAGCCUUCAGUAA
rnacentral:piRNA from 1 species